GACGAACGCUGGCGGCGUGCCUAAUACAUGCAAGUAGAACGCUGAAGGAGGAGCUUGCUUCUCUGGAUGAGUUGCGAACGGGUGAGUAACGCGUAGGUAACCUGCCUGGUAGCGGGGGAUAACUAUUGGAAACGAUAGCUAAUACCGCAUAAGAGUAGAUGUUGCAUGACAUUUACUUAAAAGGUGCAAUUGCAUCACUACCAGAUGGACCUGCGUUGUAUUAGCUAGUUGGUGAGGUAACGGCUCACCAAGGCAACGAUACAUAGCCGACCUGAGAGGGUGAUCGGCCACACUGGGACUGAGACACGGCCCAGACUCCUACGGGAGGCAGCAGUAGGGAAUCUUCGGCAAUGGACGGAAGUCUGACCGAGCAACGCCGCGUGAGUGAAGAAGGUUUUCGGGUCGUAAAGCUCUGUUGUAAGAGAAGAACGAGUGUGAGAGUGGAAAGUUCACACUGUGACGGUAUCUUACCAGAAAGGGACGGCUAACUACGUG
rnacentral:rRNA from 1 species